CCUACGGGCGGCAGCAGUCGAGAAUCAUUCACAAUGGGGGAAACCCUGAUGGUGCGACGCCGCGUGGGGGAAUGAAGGUCUUCGGAUUGUAAACCCCUGUCAUGUGGGAGCAAAUUAAAAAGAUAGUACCACAAGAGGAAGAGACGGCUAACUAUGUGCCAGCAGCCGCGGUAAUACAGAGGUCUCAAGCGUUGUUCGGAAUCACUGGGCGUAAAGCGUGCGUAGGCUGUUUCGUAAGUCGUGUGUGAAAGGCGCGGGCUCAACCAGCGGACGGCACAUGAUACUGCGAGACUAGAGUAAGGGAGGGGGAACCGGAAUUCUCGGUGUAGCAGUGAAAUGCGUAGAUAUCGAGAGGAACACUCGUGGCGAAGGCGGGUUCCUGGACAUUAACUGACGCUGAGGCACGAAGGCCAGGGGAGCGAAAGGGAUUAGAUACCCGUGUAGUC
rnacentral:rRNA from 1 species